UUGUGAAUUGAUCCCUAUAAAAGAAUCGAUUCACUUCAUAACUCCCAAAUCCCUUCAUAACAUUCUCAGCUUAAUUUGACGCAUUACUGUACUGUAUUAUUUGGGGACUUAAGCGUGCAUUUGUGCGCAGUGGUGAUCUUUUAGAGACUGUACCGACUGGAAUUUAGCGACCACUGACCGUUUUAGAGACCGUACGGUCGGCGGCGGGCGUCCCCUCCCAGGCCUCCCAGUCCCGAUCCUCGCCUGGGGCGAAGGCCGGAGACGCCGGAGAGGGGAGCGCGCAUCGCGCGCGCCCCCCUCCGCCGCAUUCCAUCCGUCCCAUUCACUGCCCGCUCGCGAUGUGCGGACGGCUGACGGGGGUGUCGAGUGUGUGCCGUGCGGUGUUGGUGUCGUCUGCCGUCUCCUCUUCCGACCUGAAGCAUUCGAGAAUCUCGGCUCACCAAUAAUAUGCGAUGCAAGGCUCGACGGGCGACAUCCUCGCUCAGGAUGUGUACGAGUAUAGCUGGAUGCAGACGGAACGGCGGCCUCGACAAUGGUGACAUGACGUGACGUCAACGGUGUGAUGGUGUGAUGUGACUGUGACGUGUGGAUGACUCGAAAAGUAAAGGGCUUUAAUAUGUGUUCUCAGCUAUACAUUUUUUAUGAAUACAUAUUGAUUUAGACG